rnacentral:rRNA from 1 species
ACUGAACGCUGGCGGCAUGCCUUACACAUGCAAGUCGAACGGCAGCAUAGGAGCUUGCUCCUGAUGGCGAGUGGCGAACGGGUGAGUAAUAUAUCGGAACGUGCCCUAGAGUGGGGGAUAACUAGUCGAAAGACUAGCUAAUACCGCAUACGAUCUACGGAUGAAAGUGGGGGAUCGCAAGACCUCAUGCUCCUGGAGCGGCCGAUAUCUGAUUAGCUAGUUGGUGGGGUAAAAGCUCACCAAGGCGACGAUCAGUAGCUGGUCUGAGAGGAAGACCAGCCACACUGGGACUGAGACACGGCCCAGACUCCUACGGGAGGCAGCAGUGGGGAAUUUUGGACAAUGGGGGCAACCCUGAUCCAGCAAUGCCGCGUGAGUGAAGAAGGCCUUCGGGUUGUAAAGCUCUUUUGUCAGGGAAGAAACGGUUCUGGAUAAUACCUGGGACUAAUGACGGUACCUGAAGAAUAAGCACCGGCUAACUACGUGCCAGCAGCCGCGGUAA